UGUAACUGGUUAAACUUAAAGUCGAUAUUUUCUAUCGAACUAGUCUAUUUUCUGUUCAGACACAAAGUUUUCUGAUGGUGAUAUUAUGUCAGUGUGUGUUUGUGUGGGGGUCGUGUGCUGUAAUCUUUGAAAGUUUUAUGACCGAACCUUUAUUGGGGAGCGACAAGAGAUCUCCGUGAUCAGUUUGGAUGGAGCAGAGCUGUUAUACUCUAUUGCGAAAUUGUCUAAACUGGUAUUAACUAUUCCUGCUAAAUCGCGGAGAAGAGUGGAAUGAACAAAAAAGUCAGACCGAGACUAGAACCACCCGCAGCGUAACAAGGAAAUCUUGGAGCAAAGAGACGCCGAGUGGCUCGUGUUGUGCGGUUUGGAUAUCUGCUGCAAAGCGAACGUUGUGUGUACUAUUGCAAAAUAGCGGAUCUCCCCGGUUAGGAUACAGACCACAACGCUUUGGACGUAUCUUUAAAAAAGAGAAAAAUCAGAGACUUUUUGGAUUUGUCUGGGGACAUUUUAAACAUUUUGUGUCAAAUUGGAUUUAAAACAUUUCGGAUACUGGAUACCUAGUUUGAUUUGUCCACAGAGCUUGUUUAAGACGUUUUCACCUCA